GCGGCGUGCUAUACAUGACAAGUCGAGCGGACCUUUUAAAGCUUGCUUUUGAAAGGUCAGCGGCGGACGGGUGAGUAACACGUGGGCAACCUGCCUGUAAGACUGGGAUAACUUCGGGAAACCGGAGCUAAUACCGGAUAAUAUAAGGAACCUCCUGGUUCUUUAUUGAAAGAUGGUUUCGGCUAUCACUUACAGAUGGGCCCGCGGCGCAUUAGCUAGUUGGUGAGGUAACGGCUCACCAAGGCGACGAUGCGUAGCCGACCUGAGAGGGUGAUCGGCCACACUGGGACUGAGACACGGCCCAGACUCCUACGGGAGGCAGCAGUAGGGAAUCUUCCACAAUGGACGAAAGUCUGAUGGAGCAACGCCGCGUGAGCGAUGAAGGCCUUCGGGUCGUAAAGCUCUGUUGUUAGGGAAGAACAAGUGCGAGAGUAACUGCUCGCACCUUGACGGUACCUAACCAGAAAGCCACGGCUAACUACGUGCCAGCAGCCGCGGUAAUACGUAGGUGGCAAGCGUUGUCCGGAAUUAUUGGGCGUAAAGCGCGCGCAGGUGGUCCUUUAAGUCUGAUGUGAAAGCCACGGCUCACCGUGGAGGGUCAUUGGAAACUGGGGACUUGAGUGCAAAAGAGAGU
rnacentral:rRNA from 1 species